CAAUAGCGUAUAUUAAAGUUGUUGCAGUUAAAAAGCUCGUAGUUGAACUUCAGACCUGGCCGGGCGGUCUGCCUAACGGUAUGUACUGUCUGGCUGGGUCUUACCUCUUGGUGAGCCGGCAUGCCCUUCACUGGGUGUGUCGGGGAACCAGGACUUUUACCUUGAGAAAAUUAGAGUGUUCAAAGCAGGCCUAUGCCCGAAUACAUUAGCAUGGAAUAAUAAAAUAGGACGUGCGGUUCUAUUUUGUUGGUUUCUAGAGUCGCCGUAAUGAUUAAUAGGGAUAGUUGGGGGCAUUAGUAUUCAGUUGCUAGAGGUGAAAUUCUUGGAUUUACUGAAGACUAACUACUGCGAAAGCAUUUGCCAAGGAUGUUUUCAUUGA
rnacentral:rRNA from 1 species